AUUGAACGCUGGCGGCAGGCCUAUCACAUGCAAGUCGAGCGGUUGAGGUAGCUUGCUACCGAAGCAGCGGCGAACGGGUGAGUAAUGCAUGGGAAUCUGCCUGGUAGUGGGGGACAACGUUUCGAAAGGAACGCUAAUACCGCAUACGCCCUACGGGGGAAAGGGGGGGAUCUUCGGACCUAUCGCUAUCAGAUGAGCCCAUGUCGGAUUAGCUUGUUGGUGAGGUAAAGGCUCACCAAGGCGACGAUCUGUAACUGGUCUGAGAGGAUGAUCAGUCACACUGGAACUGAGACACGGUCCAGACUCCUACGGGAGGCAGCAGUGGGGAAUAUUGGACAAUGGGGGCAACCCUGAUCCAGCCAUGCCGCGUGUGUGAAGAAGGCCUUCGGGUUGUAAAGCACUUUCAGUGGGGAGAAAGGUCAUUCACCUAAUACGUGAGUGAAUUGAUGUUACCCACAGAAGAAGCACCGGCUAACUCCGUGCCAGCAGCCGCGGUAA
rnacentral:rRNA from 1 species